UAUGUGGCAUACGGCUCAGUAACACGUAGUCAACAUGCCCAGGGGACGUGGAUAACCUCGGGAAACUGAGGAUAAACCGCGAUAGGUCAUUACUUCUGGAAUGGGUAAUGACUUAAAUCUAUAUGGCCCCUGGAUUGGACUGCGGCCGAUCAGGCUGUUGGUGAGGUAAUGGCCCACCAAACCUGUAACCGGUACGGGCUCUGAGAGGAGGAGCCCGGAGAUGGGCACUGAGACAAGGGCCCAGGCCCUAUGGGGCGCAGCAGGCGCGAAACCUCUGCAAUAGGCGAAAGCUUGACAGGGUUACUCUGAGUGAUUUCCGUUAAGGAGAUCUUUUGGCACCUCUAAAAAUGGUGCAGAAUAAGGGGUGGGCAAGUCUGGUGUCAGCCGCCGCGGUAAUACCAGCACCCCGAGUGGUCGGGACGUUUAUUGGGCCUAAAGCAUCCGUAGCCGGUUCUACAAGUCUUCCGUUAAAUCCACCUGCUUAACAGAUGGGCUGCGGAAGAUACUAUAGAGCUAGGAGGCGGGAGAGGCAAGCGGUACUCGAUGGGUAGGGGUAAAAUCCGUUGAUCCAUUGAAGACCACCAGUGGCGAAGGCGGCUUGCCAGAACGCGCUCGACGGUGAGGGAUGAAAGCUGGGGGAGCAAACCGGAUUAGAUACCCGGGUAGUCCCAGCUGUAAACGAUGCAGACUCGGUGAUGAGUUGGCUUAUUGCUAACUCAGUGCCGCAGGGAAGCCGUUAAGUUUGCCGCCUGGGGAGUACGGUCGCAAGACUGAAACUUAAAGGAAUUGGCGGGGGAGCACCACAAGGGGUGAAGCCUGCGGUUCAAUUGGAGUCAACGCCGGA
rnacentral:rRNA from 1 species